rnacentral:rRNA from 1 species
GGUGGGCGUCGACCGGCGCACGGGUGAGUAACGCGUAUCCAACCUGCCCAACCCACUUGGGGGAAUAACCUUGCGAAAGUAAGACUAAUACCCAAUGAUAUCCCACGAAGGCAUCCGAAUGGGAUUAAAGAUUUAUCGGUGAUGGAUGGGGAUGCGUCUGAUUAGCUUGUUGCGGGUAACGGCCCACCAAGGCAACGAUCAGUAGGGGUUCUGAGAGGAAGGUCCCCCACAUUGGAACUGAGACACGGUCCAAACUCCUACGGGAGGCAGCAGUGAGGAAUAUUGGUCAAUGGGCGAGAGCCUGAACCAGCCAAGUAGCGUGCAGGAUGACGGCCCUAUGGGUUGUAAACUGCUUUUAUAAGGGAAUAAAGUGGGUCACGUGUGACUUUUGCAUGUACCUUAUGAAUAAGGACCGGCUAAUUCCGUG